rnacentral:rRNA from 1 species
GUCUACGGCCAUGCCACUCUGCACGUGCCCGAUCUCCUCUGAUCUCGGAAGCUAAGCAGGGUCGGGACCGGUUAGUACUUAGAUGGGAGACCACCUAGGAAUACCACAUGCUGUAGGUA